rnacentral:lncRNA from 1 species
GCCCGCGGCUCCCUCUGCGGAGCGCUGCGCCCCGGCCCCGCCGCCGCUGCCGCUGCCCACGUCCGGACCCAUCCGGGGUUCCGCUCGCGGCAACGCGGUAGCAGCCCGGGCAGGUGGGUCGCCGCCAGGCUGAGGUGGCGCCCAAGACGCGCCUGAGCUCGCCCAGGAUGGGCAGCAGUAGCCGGAGAAAGCCGCCGCCGCCGGCCCCACCCCAGCACCAGCGCCCCGGCCGGGGGGAGGCGGGGGCAGCCACCUGGCCCGGACGGCUGCGGUCUGGAGGGCUGUCAACAAAGUGGUGUAGGAGGACGCCAGUUACUGCACGGAAAGCAGCGUCAGGAGCCAUAGUACCUACAGCAGCACUCCAGAAAUUUCCAAGGAAACUAUAUUUCUUACAUUGAUGGAAAUGUAUGGAAAGCAUACAGUUGGAC